UGGGUCCACCUCCCACCCGUGUUUAUUGUACCUUGUUGCUUCGGUGCGCCCGCCUCACGGCCGCCGGGGGGCUUCUGCCCCCGGGUCCGCGCGCACCGGAGACACUAUUGAACUCUGUCUGAAGAUUGCAGUCUGAGCAUAAACUAAAUAAGUUAAAACUUUCAACAACGGAUCUCUUGGUUCCGGCAUCGAUGAAGAACGCAGCGAAAUGCGAUAACUAAUGUGAAUUGCAGAAUUCAGUGAAUCAUCGAGUCUUUGAACGCACAUUGCGCCCCCUGGUAUUCCGGGGGGCAUGCCUGUCCGAGCGUCAUUGCUGCCCUCAAGCACGGCUUGUGUGUUGGGCUCCGUCCCCCCGGGGACGGGUCCGAAAGGCAGCGGCGGCACCGAGUCCGGUCCUCGAGCGUAUGGGGCUUUGUCACCCGCUCUGUAGGCCCGGCCGGCGCCAGCCGACAACCAAUCAUCCUUUUUUCAGGUUGACCUCGGAUCAGGUAGGGAUACCCGCUGAACUUAAGCAUAUCAAUAAGCGGAG
rnacentral:rRNA from 1 species